GAAUUUUGGACAAUGGGCGAAAGCUUGAUCCAGCAAUGCCGCGUGAAGGAUGAAGGCCUUCGGGUUGUAAACUGCUUUUGUACGGACAGAAAAGCUUUGGGUUAAUACCCUGGAGUCGUGACGGUACCGUAAGAAUAAGAACCGGCUAACUACGUUCCCGCAGCCGCGGUAAAACGUAGGGUGCAAGCGUUAAUAGGAAUUAUUGUGCGUAAUGCGUGCGCAGGCGGUUUUGUAAGACAGAGGUGAAAUCCCCGGGCUCAACCUGGGAACUGCCUUUGUGACUGCAAGGCUAGAGUACGGCAGAGGGGGGUGGAAUUCCUCGUGUAGCAGUGAAAUGCGUAGAUAUGCGGAGGAACACCGAUGGCGAAGGCAACCCCCUGGGCCUGUACUGACGCUCAUGCACGAAAGCGUGGGGAGCAAACA
rnacentral:rRNA from 1 species